AUACGGAGGGGGCUAGCGUUGUUCGGAAUUACUGGGCGUAAAGCGCGCGUAGGCGGGUUGGCAAGUUGAAGGUGAAAUCCCAGGGCUCAACCCUGGAACUGCCUCCAAAACUGCCAGUCUUGAGUUCGGAAGAGGUGAGUGGAAUUCCUAGUGUAGAGGUGAAAUUCGUAGAUAUUAGGAAGAACACCAGUGGCGAAGGCGACUCACUGGUCCGAUACUGACGCUGAGGUGCGAAAGCGUGGGGAGCAAACAGGAUUAGAAACCCCAGUAGUCC
rnacentral:rRNA from 1 species